rfam:Halobacillus sp. BBL2006 cont560, whole genome shotgun sequence.
UCCAGGGCGACCUGGAAUCUGAAGGAAGCCGGAGGCAAACUUCCGCCCCGAGGAACACGAAUCUCAUAGAAGGCUGUUUAUCUGGGAUGAGCCUGCCUAACAAGGUGAAGUCCCGACGACCAAAGAGAUAGGCAGUAAAUGAGGCGGGGAUGGAAGGGAAGUUUAUGUC